rnacentral:rRNA from 1 species
GAUCUUACAGGCCGAACAAAACUUUCGAGUAGCGUUUGGAAUCGAUGAUACUGUCGUGCCAAGAAAAGCCACUAAGCAUAUCUAUUAUAACCCGUACCGUAAACCGACACAGGUAGGUGGGAUGAGUAUUCUAAGGCGCGUGGAAGAACCCUGGUUAAGGAACUCUGCAAACUAGCACCGUAUCUUCGGUAGAAGGUGUGCCUACUUAGGUAUUAGGGAUUUACUCCCGAAAGCUUGAGAGGUUGCAACAAAGAGUCCCUCCCGACUGUUUACCAAAAACACAGCACUUUGCUAACUCGUAAGAGGAUGUAUAAGGUGUGACGCCUGCCCGGUGCUCGAAGGUUAAUUGAUGAUGUCAGCGUAAGCGAAGCAUUUGAUCGAAGCCCGAGUAAACGGCGGCCGUAACUAUAACGGUCCUAAGGUAGCGAAAUUCCUUGUCGGUUAAAUACCGACCUGCAUGAAUGGCGUAACGAGAUGGGAGCUGUCUCAACCAGGGAUCCAGUGAAAUUGUAGUGGAGGUGAAAAUUCCUCCUACCCGCGGAAAGACGGAAAGACCCCGUGCACCUUUACUAUAGCUUUACACUGCUAUUGGGAUAUUCAUGUGCAGGAUAGGUGGGAGACUAUGAAACUCGGAUGCUAAUUCGAGUGGAGUUACCCUUGAGAUACCACCCUUGAAUAUUCUGAUAGCUAACUCGGUAAUGUGAUCCAUUACGAGGACAAUGUAUGGUGGGUAGUUUGACUGGGGCGGUCGCCUCCUAAAAAGUAACGGAGGCUUACAAAGGUUGGCUCAAUCCGGUUGGAAAUCGGAUGUUGAGUAUAAUGGCAUAAGCCAGCCUGACUGUGAGACAUACAUGUCGAGCAGAGACGAAAGUCGGUCAUAGUGAUCCGGUGGUUCUGUGUGGAAGGGCCAUCGCUCAAAGGAUAAAAGGUACGCCGGGGAUAACAGGCUGAUCUCCCCCAAGAGCUCACAUCGACGGGGAGGUUUGGCACCUCGAUGUCGGCUCAUCGCAUCCUGGGGCUGAAGCAGGUCCCAAGGGUAUGGCUGUUCGCCAUUUAAAGCGGUACGCGAGCUGGGUUCAGAACGUCGUGAGACAGUUCGGUCCCUAUCUUCCGUGGGCGUAGGAAAGUUGAGGAGAUUUGCCCCUAGUACGAGAGGACCGGGGUGAACGUAGCACUAGUGUACCAAUUGUUCUGCCAAGAGCAUCGUUGGGUAGCUACCUACGGAUGAGAUAAGAGCUGAAAGCAUCUAAGCACGAAGCCAACUCCAAGAUGAACUUUCCCUGAAGAUCCCAGCAAGACUAGCUGGUUGAUAGGAUAGAUGUGUAAGUGCAGUAAUGCAUUCAGCUGACUAUUACUAAUAGAUCGUUUGGCUUAUUU